GUUCUCCAUUCAUUACCUGUAUUAACUGCACCUGUUUGAACUCGUUACCUGUAUAAAAGACACCUGUCCAAAUACUCAAUCAAACAGACUCCAACCUCUCCACAAUGGCCAAGACCAGACAGCUGUAAGGUAUAGCCUACCUCAAGCUGGUCCGCCUCCCAACUCAUAAAAUCAGACUGAUCCGAACUCGCUGGUUCUGGUGGACGGGAUACCUCCUGGGGGCUUGGACAGUCGAUGGUCCUACAGUCAUUUGGAGAGUCCGUGCCUGAAGGUGGUCCUCGAAGGCGUUCUGAUCUGGUUCGACAACUUCCACCACAUCAGCUGGGGUUUCAGUGAUCUGAAAUCAACAGCUGCGGCUCCCAUCCGUACUCGGUAGAGGCCUGGAUGCUGUUGUUGUGUGCAAAGAGAAUUACCUUCUUGGUACCAAUCAAUGGACUUGCUCAUGGCAGUUUGAGGGUCUGGUUGGUCCAAUCACCAAACCUGGAGAAGGGUGUAGGACAAUUGUUCAUGAACUCGGUCACACAAGAUAACCGUGGGUGUUGAAGAUGUCCAUCAUCGCCUGGAGGUGGCCUCGCCAGUCUCGUCCUUGAGAGGAAUCAUACAAAACGAAAAUCUAUUAUUGGUUCCAAGCACCCUAACAUUUAAAGUGGUCCAAUGAGGUCCAUCCCUAACAUUUAAAGUGGUCCAUCCCUAACAUUUAAAGUGGUCCAAUGAGGUCCACCCCUAACAUUUAAAGUGGUCCAAUGAGGUCCACCCCUAACAUUUAAAGUGGUCCAAUGAGGUCCAUCCCUAACAUUUAAAGUGGUCCAAUGAGGUCCAUCCCUAACAUUUAAAGUGGUCCAAUGAGGUCCACCCCUAACAUUUAAAGUGGUCCAAUGAGGUCCACCCCUAACAUUUAAAGUGGUCCAAUGAGGUCCACCCCUAACAUUUAAAGUGGUCCAAUGAGGUCCACCCCUAACAUUUAAAGUGGUCCAAUGAGGUCCACCCCUAACAUUUAAAGUGGUCCAAUGAGGUCCACCCCUAACAUUUAAAGUGGUCCAAUGAGGUCCACCCCUAACAUUUAAAGUGGUCCAAUGAGGUCCACCCCUAACAUUUAAAGUGGUCCAAUGAGGUCCACCCCUAACAUUUAAAGUGGUCCAAUGAGGUCCACCCCUAACAUUUAAAGUGGUCCAAUGAGGUCCACCCCUAACAUUUA